rnacentral:pre_miRNA from 1 species
GCAUGGCCCAGACAGGCGUGGCUCAGGCAUCUCUGGGCGAGUAUUUCUUUGAGCACCUCACUUGCAAGCAGGACUAGGAGA